CUGGACUUGCGCAUGGGCGCACCCUGAUGCAGCCUGCCGCGUGAGUGAUGAAGGCCUUCGGGUUGUAAAGCCCUUUUCACCGGGACGAUAAUGACGGUACCCUGAGAAUAAGCCCCGGCUAACUUCGUGCCAACAGCCGCGGUUAUAAUACGUGCCAGCAGCCGCGGUAAUAGGGGGGGGGGUGGGGGGGGUAUUAAAUUUUUACGACAUCGUGUAUGCUGUGUGUUAUGUGUUUAUUG
rnacentral:rRNA from 1 species